rnacentral:sRNA from 1 species
ACUCAACACUAAUCUAUUAUGAAGGAUAAGUCUUAGUUGCUAAAGCAUGCCACUAUUGCCAAUGUUUUUUUGGCUCUUGGGUGGAUUCUUGAUCAGCUAGUUAGUCCUAUACAUACCAUAAUGGAGUUU